AGUGAACGCUGGCGGUAGGCCUAACACAUGCAAGUCGAACGGCAGCACAGUAAGAGCUUGCUCUUACGGGUGGCGAGUGGCGGACGGGUGAGGAAUACAUCGGAAUCUACUUUUUCGUGGGGGAUAACGUUGGGAAACUUACGCUAAUACCGCAUACGACCUACGGGUGAAAGCAGGGGAUCUUCGGACCUUGCGCGAUUGAAUGAGCCGAUGUCGGAUUAGCUAGUUGGCGGGGUAAAGGCCCACCAAGGCGACGAUCCGUAGCUGGUCUGAGAGAAUGAUCAGCCAAACUGGAACUGAGACACGGUCCAGACUCCUACGGGAGGCAGCAGUGGGGAAUAUUGGACAAUGGGCGCAAGCCUGAUCCAGCCAUACCGCGUGGGUGAAGAAGGCCUUCGGGUUGUAAAGCCCUUUUGUUGGGAAAGAAAAGCAGCAGGUUAAUACCCCGCUGUUCUGACGGUACCCAAAGAAUAAGCACCGGCUAACUUCGUG
rnacentral:rRNA from 1 species